GACGAACGCUGGCGGCGUGCUUAACACAUGCAAGUCGUACGGUAAGGCCCUUUCGGGGGUACACGAGUGGCGGACGGGUGCGUAACACGUGAGUAACCUGCCCACUACUUUGGUUUAACGCUAGGAAACUGGUGCUAAUACUGGAUAUGUGCUCCUGCUGCAUGGUGGGGGUUGGAAAGCUCCGGGGGGUGUGGGUGGACUCGCGGCCUAUCAGCUUGUUGGUGGGGUAGUGGGCUACCAAGGCGGCGACGGGUAGACGGCCUGCGAGGGUGACCGGCGACACUGGGACUGAGGGAAGGCCCAGGCUGCGACGGGAGGCAGCAGGGGGGAAUAUUGCACAAUGGGCGCAAGGUGGAUGCAGCAGGGCCUCGGGUGGGAUGACGGCCUUCUGGGUGUAAACCGGCUUCAGCAGGGACGAAGCUUUUUGUGACGGUACCUGCAGAAGAAGCACCGGCUAACUACGUG
rnacentral:rRNA from 1 species